UGUAUAUGCUUCUUUAACCUAGCAAAACGACGCGUAUGCCUAAGGACCCUCAAAGUUCUUUCUCCCCCUGCAAUCUCUCUUCUUCCAUUUUUAUCUUCUCCAACUUUCUAUCCUAUUUUCUCUUUCACUUUACUUUUUUGCUCUCAUUGCUUUCUCAUCAUCUUCUUCCAGGAGUGUUAAUUAAACUUUGUCCUGUUUUGUUGAUUGUUUGAUAUUGCUUUCAAUUUUUGCUGCUCCAAUUUGUUGGUAUUGCAUGGACAAAAUUUGAAUGUCGAAUCCACUUUUUCUUCGGCGACUGUAGACCAUCUCAAUUUUGUAUUGAUGGGUCCUAUUAUAAGAGGGUACAAUGGAAAAAUUCUUAUGCCAAAAUCCAGCGAAGACCUCAAAAUUCAACUGGGAGACACACGUAUGACCACUUCUGUUCAUCAUUCUUUAUCAUUUACUUAGGCUAGGUGCAACUUCCAAAAUCUUUGAAAAUGUUGAAACAUCGAUUUAGAUUUCGAGCACCAAGUUCUGAAAUCUUACUAUUCUCCAUUCCAAUUGAUCUUGGAGUUGCACUUUAUAUGUGGAAGUAGAAAUUUGAGAAGACAUCAACACACCUCCAAAUAAUUAAGAACGUAUCAUCGAAUGUGAAAAGGUCCUACAUUGCCCUGUCAGAUGAAGGAACAUGGAAUGUUGCUCGACAAUCCAGAUAAACAAAUCAUGGAAGAUCUUGCAAUGGAGGUUCCAAGAGAAAAGUUCGGAAAUGGGAGGUGUAAUCGUAUGUAAAGAAUAUGCUAUUAUUGUUUCAUGGAUUGACUGCAACACGCAACAACUCAUGGAAUAUCUUGCAUUAGAGGUUCAGAGAGAAACUAAGUCAAUAUUGUUGUUGGUUCUCUCUUUCUAUACAUUAUUUGGGGUGGUCUUUGCUUCUUCUCAAUUUGUUUUGCUAUAUGGAUCAGUAGCUCAAGUGUUUAUAUAUAUAUAUAUAUACACAUACAAAAAAUGGAUGUAGAUAGUCUACCUGUUUUCAUAUCUGAAGUAAUUAUACAUUGAGCAUCAUAUCUUAACACGUACUUGCAUAUUAUUAACAUGUUUGGUCAUCCAUAUUUUCCCUAGCUUGCCACAAGUGUGGAUUAAUUUUUCCUUCUCUUUCUUUUGUGUUGAUAUCUCCAUUAUCCCUUCUUGCUCUCAAUUCAAUUUAUUGAUGGGAAGUACUGUACCGACUAAGUGU